rnacentral:rRNA from 1 species
AUUGAACGCUGGCGGCAUGCCUUACACAUGCAAGUCGAACGGCAGCACGGGAGCAAUCCUGGUGGCGAGUGGCGAACGGGUGAGUAAAGUAUCGGAACGUGCCCAGUCGUGGGGGAUAACGUAGCGAAAGUUACGUUAAUACCGCAUACGAUCUAUGGAUGAAAGCGGGGGAUCGCAAGACCUCGCGCGAUUGGAGCGGCCGAUAUCAGAUUAGGUAGUUGGUGGGGUAAAGGCUCACCAAGCCGACGAUCUGUAGCUGGUCUGAGAGGACGACCAGCCACACGGGGACUGAGACACGGCCCAGACUCCUACGGGAGGCAGCAGUGGGGAAUUUUGGACAAUGGGCGAAAGCCUGAUCCAGCCAUGCCGCGUGCAGGAUGAAGGCCUUCGGGUUGUAAACUGCUUUUGUACGGAACGAAAAGGUUUGGCCUAAUAAGCUGAGCUCAUGACGGUACCGUAAGAAUAAGCACCGGCUACCUACGUGCCAGCAGCCGCCGUAA